UAUCCCCCCCCCCCAAAAUACACCCACGUUGUUGCAGCUGCAGCGUUCAGAAAGCCACAGGGCUUUGGACCUUUGCUGGCAGGGUUUGGGGGUCCCUGCAGGGCGGUGGCAGCAGGUUGACAAAGGGCCCUUGGAAACCUUCCCUCCAUGAUGCUUCCACAAGAUUCUACCUUUUCACCAGGGAGAAACCGACUGCUUCAAGUGAGUUCAACCCGAAUUUCAUUUUGCUGAACUGGCCUGAUUUGGGAUGCAGGCCGACCUCUGAAAGGCUGAAAUUUCCCAUGGGAGCAGAAAUUUUCUGAGUUUUGCUCAUCUCUGGUUACUGCUUGCCCAGAAAUGGCCUAAAGCAAACAAACAGCCACUCUCCUAGAGCAGAGGAGAGCAGCCUGGAGCUGCCAGCACGUCCUGCAGACAGACCUAGUGACAGCUCAGAUGUGAAUCUGCAGCACUGCUGGGCUUGGAUUUAGGGAUCGCUCUACGAAAUCCACAGCUACACCAUUUGACUCCAGGAAAAAAAAAAAAAAAUUACCUUUUGAACCCUCUUUUUUUUUUUGCCAUAAUUUGGGUCUGUAGCUCGUUUCUGAGAAUUUUCGAAGGAGCAGAGGUGCUAAGGGAGUCGGAGAUGUCGGGCCAUCCCCGCUCCCAUCACAGCCCCGGACAAGCACCGGGAGCUCAGCAGGCAAGGCAGGAGCAGCUCCCUGCGGGCUGGGGGAUGGAUGUGAGCGGUGGCAGCGAUGCCUCAGCCCGGGGGUUAAAUUCGGGGGACAGAUCACCACGGUUUAAGUGAGGUCUAAGCAAAUACAAGCGCCAGAGGCUU